UUUGACCCUACAGAAAAUUGGAGAACAAACUAAAUUAAUGAGGGGGGACAACUUAUAGUUUAGUCAAGUUAAAACUAAAAGUCAAUGGGGAACUCAAUCGACUGAUUAUAAAGCCUGCAAAAGUGGCAGAAUGAAUGAUCGAGUUGAAGCAAACCAAACACACGAGCCUCAUACACUUUAACAGUACCGGCUGCACAAUCCAGGGCCUCGAAUGUCAUAUAGAGAAUAUAACCACUGCCUCACGGUUCAUAAUUUGGCUUCAGAAGUCGGGAUUGCAUAUCAACGUGCACUGAGAGGCAAGAAAGAUCAUCAGUUAUUAUUCUUAUGAUUGGUGAGCCCAGCCUCAGUUUCAAUUUUCACUAACCAGCCAAAAGAGAUAUCAUCACAGUUGAACUGGGAUUUGAAUUGCUAUGAGCAACUAUGCAUGUACAGUUAAGGUACAGCGAUUAAUGUUGGGCCCGAGUAGAAUUAAACAAGCAAUCAACACAAAAGAAUGAAGUGAACAGAUGCCAGCGCAGUGUGUAAAAUAAAAAUAAAACAAAAAAACAUCAGCCGACAAGCCUGAGAUAACCUGGUAGGCACGGCAAUUAGCAACAGCAAGGUGAAGAAAAUGGUUGUAGUGGACAGGGUCGAUUUGGCCAGGUCGAGCCGGUUGAAUUAGGUGGCCAACGGCAUGAGAGAAGUCAUCAACAUCGAAGCCCUAGAUUUUAAGCCAAUCAGAACAAAGGGGAGGAUGAGAAAAUCCCUUUAGGAGGAGAACGAGCCACGAGAAAGAAGUGCUUGCAUUCAUUCACUGAUUAGUUAUAUAUUACUUACCUGGCUUUUCUUCAACUUAGCUGAGUAGGACUGCAUCUCUUUGGGCGUCAACCCGGGGAAGAUCGGGUGGUGGCAGUCGAUUCAUGAGAAAGUAAUGAAUAGGUCAGUGCACAUACAACUAAAAUUUGACCCUGGCUUACUAAUGUGAUGAUCAUCAUGGCAGCUAGCGGAGCGGAAUUCUUCUCUAAUUUUACAGAUCUAGAAAUUAAGCUCGAGGAAGGAAGGCUGCGCUACGUAUACACUGAUUCGAUAUUUUGAGGUUAUAACCGGUGCAAGAGCCGGACUUUGUUUUUCACUAAAGGAGGAGAUAUACCUAAGCUACAUGAAAAACAGGUGACCAUACCCUACUUUGCCAUCGAAUAAGUUUUCUAUAUUCCACCUGCAAACUACAUAUUAUAUAUACUUCUAAUCGGGAAUGGAAGUGAAUGAAAAUUUGCAGCAGGAAAAGAAUGAAUCUUAGAUUCGAGCGGGCACAAGCAGGCAGGCAGUCAUUCAGUCGAAUUAAAACAGAAGCAGCCAUAAUCAGCCAAACACAUCAUUGAAUUAUUGCUUGUAGAAACACGAAGCACAACUUUUGACCCAAAAUAUAUCAUUGGAUUACAUCUCGAAUUUCCGUUUCCUUUCAUCCAAAUAUCAUCAGUUAAGUUAUAGCAGCUCACUGAUUGCCCAAGCUGGCAUUUCUCCUCCUUCUUUAAUCUUUGAUGCAAGUUAAAAUCAAGCUCUUGAUCGGCACUGAUACAUCUGUAUAGGCAUAUAUGGUGCAUUUUCUACUAGCUUAUUAUGAUGGAGACAAGGAAGAAAUUGAAAGCAUCUGCAAAAUUGGCACCGGUUUCGCUGAAGCAAUGCUUUGAAGAAAGAUCUGCCAGUCUUCGCUCCAAAGUUAGUUAUCCCUAAGCCAAAGCCAUACUUUCGUUAUUCAUAUACACUCAGCCCAGAUGUGUGGUUCGAGCCCACUGAGGUUUGGGAGGUGAAAGCCGCAGAUUUAACUAUUAGCCCUGUUCAUCGUGCUGCAGUGGGCAUUGUAGAUUUGAGAAGGUUUGCUCAUCUCAGUGAUGCCCAGAAUGUUAUUGCUUUAAUAACCGAUGUGUAUCUGCACUUUUCAUGGUUUCUGCAGUCAGAGAUCUAUAACUUGUUGGGUUGCUUUGGAUACUUUAUAGUUUCAUCAACUUUUAUUUCUGGAAAAGGGUCUCUCUCAGCUUACCUCGUCUGCUUCGCUUCCGGGAAGACGAAGCGCCUGAGCAAGAAACCUCUUCAGAACAAAUUGCAGAACUGUAUAUUGCUCAAAAGCACACUCACAAGAAUAAUCAAGAUGACGAUGAAGAGGAAUGAAAGGCAAGGCCCUCAUUGUUCUAACUAGACAUAUAAUAGUCUAAGUAAAGUUGCGUAAAAAUAUUUUAACCAUGAAGAGUCUAUGAUAGAUCCGAGCUUGCAGCCCCAUGCCGCGCAUUCAACGUGCCAGUUUAUGCAUGGCAUCUCUUGAGUGAUGUUGGACUCGGAAUUAAAGAUUGCCUCUACUUACUCAUGUAGGUCGAAUUUGUGCUGUCUUGAUUACUACUGAGAAAUAUGGUCUGGUUCAUGAGCUCCCUUAUUUUCAGGAACAACCCCGAGCUCAUGAAGUUUUUUCAGCUUGGAGAAGGCUCGUAUUCAGUUGUCUGUACUUGAAACGGAUCUCACUUUUCAAAGAGAAAUUUGGGUUGCUUAUCAUAGUGGUCAUUUUUGGUCUAUGUUCCUCUUAUGUUGAAGGGAUGAGCCUGAAACACUGUUAUAUUGAACCAUUUACUCAUCUUAUGAAUUACAAGACGUUUUCUUGUGGCAAGU